rnacentral:rRNA from 1 species
CCUACGGGUGGCAGCAGUGGGGAAUAUUGCGCAAUGGGCGAAAGCCUGACGCAGCGACGCCGCGUGAGGGAUGAAGGUCUUCGGAUCGUAAACCUCUGUCAGCAGGGAAGAACGGUCACUGUGCUAAUCAGCAGUGAAUUGACGGUACCUACAAAGGAAGCACCGGCUAACUCCGUGCCAGCAGCCGCGGUAAUACGGAGGGUGCGAGCGUUAAUCGGAAUUACUGGGCGUAAAGCUCUCGUAGGCGGUAUGUCAAGUCAAGGGUGAAAUCCCCGCGCUCAACGUGGGAACUGCCUUUGAAACUGGCAAACUGGAGUGUGUGAGAGGAUAGUGGAAUACCAAGUGUAGGAGUGAAAGCCGUAGGUAUCUGGAGGAACAUCAGUGGCGAAGGAGACUAUCUGGCACAUAACUGACGCGGAGGAGCGAGAGCGUGGGUAGCAAACAGGAUUAGAUAACCGGGUAGUC